GCGGUGGCGAGGUGGGCCGCCCUCCUGCGCUGCCCCGGCCGCGGCCUCCCGCCGCCCCGGCAGCCGCAGCCUCGCCGCCCGCGGGGCGGGGGGGAACAGGGAGUCCCCGGACGGGGGGAGCGGCGUCCUCUCCGCAGUGCCUCCCAUCGCCCCCCCGGAGGUAUAGAUUGCUACCUAAAAAUAUAUAUAUGUAUGUACACACGCACACAUAUUUGUAAACCCAGUUGUUAAAUGCAGCUAGUAAAUAACAACCCUUUUAAAAAAAAAAAAAACCACCCCACACAAGCCAUAAUGAUGAUGAUGACGGGAGGGGGGGAAAUAAAUAAAUAAAAGCGAGCGAGAGUCGGCGAGGGAGAGGGAGGCAGGUUCAAUUAUCUAAACAAAGAAAUCAUGGCGGAGUGUUUACAUUUGGCAGCCCAAAGACUGUUGGAUUACGGAACCCCCCCCAAACCCCAGCGGCCCCCCCCGGCCCCCCGCAGUAACGGCUCGCCGGAGCCCGCCCGCCGACACCUCGCCGCGGCCCGGAGUCUGAACCAGCUGCUUUGAAGAGAUCUUCUGAAUGAAUGACUAGGCUGUGAAUUUCUAAGGGCUUCGUCCCACUCGAAGACACACAGAUGUACAUCGCCUCCCUCUGCAAGCAGCCCUCUUACCUGAGCGCACACACUCACACCUCCUCCACAAGUUGACUCAUUCCAUUCUAAGAGGCGCUGCAGACCUUAUAGCCCAACAUCCAGAAAAUUCCUUGAUUAGUGUCGUAAGAGUUCCUUCAAGUACUUCUGUUCUUCAUGGCAAGUAUAUUUUUGACUGAGAAAUUACCAAAAAUGUGCACCUCUUCUCUUUUUUCCCGCUCAGGUCUAAGGGUUUGACCACUUUCCUUUGCAGUUUGUCUGGUUUUGCACUGCUCAGCUCUCUGCCUGUUGUUUCAGGCUGCUACUCAAAUUACACAUAUUCUAGUUAUUAUUUCAAUCAUUUAGUAUGAAUUUUACAGUGUUGUUGUUUUUAUGCUUCCUUACGCUGCCACAUGUGUUAACUAUACAGAAACUGUUCUUCUUGUGGAAGAAAUUAUAUAACAAAACUACCCAGUAAAAAGCAUGUUUUAUGGCACUUAUAAAAUUAAUGCCAGAAAUCUAUGGUAAAGAUUGAUUUUUUGACAUUAAGGGCUAGUUAUUUAACACGUUAUGCUCUUGUAGUGGCUGGAAAACAGCACUUAGGUGUUCAGGUAUGAUCUCAAAUUCUCACCCAAGGAUUCAAAAGUUUAAGGCGUUGUUAAGUGAAGAGUAGGGGGACAAAGCACACAGGUUAAUAAUACCUGGAAUGAAUGGGAGGUGAAACAAAUACCUGGACUUUGUUUUUUUUUUUUUUUUAAUGAGCCAAAUCCACUAUAUAGUGUACUGUUUAGAUGAUCCUUGUGCAUAGCUGGGAUAUGGCAGCCAGUACAUUCGUUAACCACCAUCCAAAAGGCUGGACAACCUGACCUUCAGGAAGAAGGCAGCUCCACAGAAUUAUUGCAGCACCUCACCUUCUCUCUCUCUGGCCAGGAUGUAGACGUGGGAUGGACUGAUCCUCAGCUUUGCCUUUGUUGCUUUUUGUUAUGUGAAUGAGCAUUUGCUUUGCACUUCCCUCUCUCACUGUGGCAGUGCAACAAGACAGAGCUGACACGCUGAUAAUCUUGAUCCAUACUAGCAACUGAAAUGCCUUUUGACAGGAGGGAUAGUCUUACUGCAAUUAGAGGCCUUAUAGACAUAAACAGGAACCAUGAAAACCAAAAAUGUCCCAGUAAACACAUUAAAAAACAAGUAUUUUGGGAGCCUGUAAGAAAAGGUGACAAGUCAAAUAUGUGUAGCUUACCACUUCUUGAAUUGGUAAACUCCAAGAACACACCAUCAACUUACACUAUUUGUGAUACGAUAUUUAGCACGGCUUCUGAUUAUGGACGUUUUAGUCAACUAGGUGUGGAUAUUACCGUCCCUCAGCUGUGGUGCGGGGCUCUGUGGUGCACUGUAAGAGGCUUGUUAGUGCGAAGUUUGGAAAAUCACAACCUCCAGAAGAAAUGCAAUCAUUUGUUACAUACAUCAGGCUGAAGCAGUUAACAUUUAUGGGGGAAUAUUUCAGGCGGAAAAAAUAUUUUUAAAAGUGUUAUCAAUAUUGUUUAUCAUAUACCUGAACCUUUAACUCCUCAGUCCAUAGGAACUGAGUAGCCUCAGAGAGAGAGAGACAGAAGUUAUA